AUUGAACGCUGGCGGCAUGCUUUACACAUGCAAGUCGAACGGUAACAGGCCUUCGGGUGCUGACGAGUGGCGAACGGGUGAGUAAUGCAUCGGAACGUACCCAGAGGUGGGGGAUAACGCAGCGAAAGCUGUGCUAAUGCCGCAUGUGAUCUGAGGAUGAAAGCGGGGGACCGAGCAGCAAUGUUUGGCCUCGCGCCUUUGGAGCGGCCGAUGUCGGAUUAGCUAGUUGGUGGGGUAAAGGCCUGCCAAGGCGACGAUCCGUAGCUGGUCUGAGAGGACGACCAGCCACACUGGGACUGAGACACGGCCCAGACUCCUACGGGAGGCAGCAGUGGGGAAUUUUGGACAAUGGGCGCAAGCCUGAUCCAGCAAUGCCGCGUGCGGGAAGAAGGCCUUCGGGUUGUAAACCGCUUUUGGCAGGAACGAAACGGUGUCCGCUAAUACCGGGCGCUAAUGACGGUACCUGCAGAAUAAGCACCGGCUAACUACGUG
rnacentral:rRNA from 1 species